CCAUGAGUACAGUGGCGACCGGGUGAGUAACACGUGACUACCUACCCUUGAGUGGGGGAUAACCUCGGGAAACCGAGGCUAAUACCGCAUAAUAUCGAGAGAUCAAAGGAGAAAUCCGCUUUUGGAGGGGGUCGCGGCUGAUUAGCUAGUUGGUGAGGUAAUGGCCUACCAAGGCGAAGAUCGGUAUCCGGCCUGAGAGGGCGCACGGACACACUGGAACUGAAACACGGUCCAG
rnacentral:rRNA from 1 species